rnacentral:tRNA from 1 species
GCGCAGCUGGCGAAAUGGCAAACGCACCGGGUUUAGGUCCCGGCGCCGCAAGGCUUGCGGGUUCAAGUCCCGCGCUGCGCACCA